GUAGCAGAAUAUGGCGCAGGUCUUUCGUCUAAAAACUUUGUUCGUGCUGGGUUUAUUUUAUUUGCUGAUCACGUUAGCACACGUUUCGACACACGGGCUUCCAGAAGAACUUGAGGGAAACCACAAAAGUUAUUCGGAAAUACAAGGUAAUUUAAAUUUUACUGUUAUGCCUGUUAGGCCUGCUCCUCCGCCACCUGUUUUGAGAACAUCUGUUAACCACCAAAGCAAGUCUUCACCACAAGGUCGACUUUCACGACCACCCCGUCCACCACCACCUCAGUUUGGAGCACGUCAGAGAGGAUCGUCUGGAAACAACGCAACGAAACCUGCGCCAGGCACUCGACGGGAAGCUCCACCCCGUCCACCACCACCUAACUUAAAAACCC